CGGAGUUGUGCCGCCUAACUGAGAGGCCCCUGCUCUGCAACCCCGGACUGAGUCAAGUGUUCCUGUUCCCAUGUCUCGUGUUUCCCGUGUCCCCGAGUCCAGUGUUCUGGUGUUCCCUAGUCUCCUGUGUUAUGUGGCCUUGUGGGCGUCUGGUAUCCACCCCUUGGGGGGUGGGGUGGGGGUGGGGGUACUGUCACGAUCUGCCCCUGCCUUCCUGACUGUGUCUCUCUCCUGCCCUGAUUAGUCCUUAUUGUUCUCACCUGCCACUCUUUAACCUGCUCAUGUGUUCCCAAUUUUCCCUGUGUAUUUAUACCUCCCUCCUUGUACCAGUCUUCGUCGGAUCAUUGUAUGUGCAUGUGCUUGUUUUGUCCUGUCGCUCCCGUUCCACCAUUAAAACCAUUUUUAUUUUUCAUCCGUGCCAUCUCUGGUGUCUCCUGAACUCUCCACCAUACAUGGUCUACCAUCUCCACUCCUCCCAACAUGACACCACCAAGUCAUGUCAUUUGCAAUUUAAAGGUCUGUUUUUUAGAUUUAACUUGGAGCUUUGUCAAAACAAACAGUGGAAACUAGGCAUUGGUGACACCUCCCCAACGGUAGGAUGAACACAUUAAUCUAAACCUUGGAUAAAACUCACAAGGCUAUUUGAGCAAUUAAUUUUAUGAAACAAAUCCAUGUAAUCUUCUACCAGUGCCGUUUUAAACUCCACCUCCAGGUGCAAAGGCGGGAGAUUGCUUAAUGUAUGACAUUUCUCAAUAUUUCGCUUCCAGUUACUGCAUAUAUAAGGAAAUCCCACCAUUCAGAGCUACAAAACAACAAUCCACCUGUAGGGAAGUCUGAAGCUGUGAAGGCCAAACGGUAAAAAUCCUGUUUUACUUUAAUUAGAUUUAUAUUGUAAAAGUUUUAUUUAUCAGCAGCUGUUUUUAAGAGAAUACAUGUUUUGUUUUAUUAGGUGAAAUCAUGCUGAAGGUUGCAUUUAUUCUUGGAUGCCUCCUGAGCCUCACUGUGGUUCAAUCUGCGGAGCCUCAGCGAUUAGGCCGCUCUGACUCCAACUCUGGUUCCAACUCCCAUGAGGCUCGUUUGGGAAAUGCAGCAGCAGCGAGGCAGAAGUUCCUUCUGCAACUCAUCCAGCUCAUUCAAAGGUUAAAAUUAACUACAACUACAGCAACAACUACAACCCCAGCUGCCACAACUACAACCCCAGCUGCCACAACUACAACAGCUGCCACAACUACAACAGCUGCCACAACUACAACAGCUGCAACAACUACAACAACUACAACAGCUGCGACGACUACCACUGCAGCUGCAACUACAACCUCAACUGCAACCAUUGUCACCACCCCUGGAGCUGGGGGAAAGUAA
rnacentral:lncRNA from 1 species